rnacentral:rRNA from 1 species
AUUCGCGGCCUAUCAGCUUGUUGGUGAGGUAAUGGCUCACCAAGGCUUCGACGGGUAGCCGGCCUGAGAGGGCGACCGGCCACACUGGGACUGAGAUACGGCCCAGACUCCUACGGGAGGCAGCAGUGGGGAAUAUUGCACAAUGGGCGCAAGCCUGAUGCAGCAACGCCGCGUGCGGGAUGACGGCCUUCGGGUUGUAAACCGCUUUCAGUGGGGACGAAGCGCAAGUGACGGUACCCACAGAAGAAGGACCGGCUAACUACGUGCCAGCAGCCGCGGUGAUACGUAGGGUCCGAGCGUUGUCCGGAAUUAUUGGGCGUAAAGGGCUUGUAGGCGGUCCGUCGCGUCAGGAGUGAAAACUCGGGGCUUAACCCCGAGCCUGCUUUUGAUACGGGCGGACUAGAGGGAUGCAGGGGAGAACGGAAUUCCUGGUGGAGCGGUGGAAUGCGCAGAUAUCAGGAGGAACACCGGUGGCGAAGGCGGUUCUCUGGGCAUCACCUGACGCUGAGAAGCGAAAGCGUGGGGAGCAAACAGGCUUAGAUACCCUGGUAGUCCACGCCGUAAACGGUGGGCACUAGGUGUGGGGGACAUUCCACGUUCUCCGUGCCGAAGCUAACGCAUUAAGUGCCCCGCCUGGGGAGUACGGAAU